UAGAAUUCCAGGUGUAGCGGUGAAAUGCGUAGAGAUCUGGAGGAAUACCGGUGGCGAAGGCGGCCCCCUGGACAAAGACUGACGCUGAGGUGCGAAAGCAUGGGGAGCAAACAGGAUUAGAUACCCUGGUAGUCCACGCCGUAAACGAUGUCGACUUGGAGGUUGUGCCCUUGAGGCGUGGCUUCCGGAGCUAACGCGUUAAGUCGACCGCCUGGGAAGUACGGCCGCAAGGUUAAAACUCAAAUGAAUUGACGGGGGCCCGCACAAGCGGUGGAGCAUGUGGUUUAAUUCGAUGCAACGCGAAGAACCUUUCCUACUCUUGACAUCCAGAGAACUUUCCAGAGAUGGAUUGGUGCCUUCGGGAACUCUGAGACAGGUGCUGCAUGGCUGUCGUCAGCUCGUGUUGUGAAAUGUUGGGUUAAGUCCCGCAACGAGCGCAACCCUUAUCCUUUGUUGCCAGCGGUCCGGCCGGGAACUCAAAGGAGACUGCCAGUGAUAAACUGGAGGAAGGUGGGGAUGACGUCAAGUCAUCAUGGCCCUUACGAGUAGGGCUGCACACGUGCUACAAUGGCGCAUACAAAGAGAAGCGACCUCGCGAGAGCAAGCGGACCUCAUAAAGUGCGUCGUAGUCCGGAUUGGAGUCCGCAACUCGACUCCAUGAAGUCGGAAUCGCUAGUAAUCGUAGAUCAGAAUGCUACGGUGAAUACGUUCCC
rnacentral:rRNA from 1 species